rnacentral:piRNA from 1 species
UUCCAGUAAACAGGUGGCACUCUGAUCUCU